CACUGCAUAGCUACUCUAGCGUUAACCUUUUAAGUUAAAGAUUGAGGGGUGUACCCUCUGCAGCGA
rnacentral:tRNA from 1 species